AUGUUGAAAUCGUUGAAAUUGAAAUAAAAAGCAAAAAUCCAGGGUUUUUUAGACACUUUAUUUAUUGUACGGUAUAAAUUAAUAAUUGUCAGUUGUUUCUUUUUAUAUUUCCAAUAAUUUUGAAAAAGUGUAAAUGAAUUCUCCGUUUAACAAUCGUUUUUUAAUAAAAACAAACGAACAUAGCCUAACUUUUUGUUUCAGGUUCUUAGUUUCGAGUUGAAGUAUAGAGAAAAUUCAUUGAACUCAUCAUUCUAUUGUUGAAAAAAACUUCCGGUAUGCAGAAAUACUUCCCUUUUUUUUAUGAAUACACAGGAAUAAAUUUGAUGGGAGAAUUUGAAUUUUUCGACUGGACAUUAACAAUACGAACACAGGUCAAUUCUCACCGUCACAUCUAUACUUUAUUGUUCAUAAUACUUUUUAUUCUCCUCGACCCUAUUUAAAAGUUUCCAGCAUAUUUAAUUGUCUAUUCAAAUGUUUCUAAUUACAUGUUUCCGUGAUAUAUUUUAUGAUAGAGAUGCAAUACGCAAGAGGAAACUGAUUCAUAUAUAUGAAAUAUAAAAAAACAAGUCCUAUUUUUGUUUCUUAUCACUUUUUCAAUAAAAUAAAAAAUAGGAAACUGGUGAAAAUAAAAAUUAUCCACAGAGAAAUAUUUUCUUAAAAUUAUUUUAAUUUAAUCACAUAUACAAUUAGAAUCACAUUUUUAUUUUUAUUGUUUUAUUGUAGCGGUUUUGCGAACUUUAAAUUUUUGUCUAUUGUUAAAGAAGGCAAAAUCGAGAUGAAAAAAUAUGAAUUUAUUUAAAAGGGGAUAGAAAUUUUUGUUUUGCUUCUUAU